UACAGACCAGGUCGGAAGAUCCGAAUUUACACAGAUUCAGUCGUCUGCUUGUUCUCUGACGUCAUCCUCGCACGCGUCAGUACCAGUUGACGUCAACCUCUCUUGUGACGUCAGUUUCGAUGAACUCAGCUGAACUCUGACCUAGUAUUGCUACAGAGUCAACUCAGGAUGUCUUACAAUAAACAUGUAAACAAUGCCAAGAGGUUGUUUUCUUGUGUCUUCCGCAACAUUCCCUUCAACUGGUGUAUUUUCUGUACAGUCCGCAUCAUCUGUGCUCAACCAUCUUUACUAGGAGCGAACUAGUGAGAUCAUUAAGUGAGGUCACGUGGGUUUGCACGCCGAUUGAAGAAGAUGAAACAAACAGUCUUUAUUUACUUUCUCAUCGAAGUGAUAUGAAACGAUUCCCUUUUGUGCGUGGAAUCUUCACCGCUCGGUAAGGUCUUUAAGAACAGAAGGAAGUAGGAGGACGAAGAAAACAGCUGCUUGACUGCGGCGUAGUAACCUAAGAAAUGAAUUUCGAACUGAGACAGAGACAUCCCAAGAGAGUCAACUGUGAUCACUUCCCUGAUGAAGCCAUCAAGCCGGGUUUCCUAUUUCUUAUUACCUUCAAUCAUCGUGUGGUGCUCCAACAGGUCUUUUCACUUUUUUCUGUCAUCACGCCACUACGUGGGAAAAUCAUGACCACGUAGUCUUCACAUCACGUGCUACGUCUCCAGCCUCGACCUUACAUCGCAGACAGUACACUCGACAAACAACAUAGUUCACAUAAUACAAAGUCUUGUAGAUGGAAACGAAUGUUGUCAACUAUGUGUGUAAAGAAGAAUGCUUAGAGUUUAUUAAUCAGACAAAGACCUAAGAGUUGUUAAUUGCUGAAAUGGCUAAUGAUGGUGAGGAGGGGAGGAGAGAUGCCCUGAGAUGUUUGAUGCUUGUCAGGCAGGGACUUGGUGUUCAAUUCUCAGCAGUCGGUGUAAGUGAUUAUAAAAUAGCAACAUCAUAACCAUAUUUAUACGUCAGGUUUAUCAACUGGUUGUGCAAGAUUUUCAAAAAUUUGUCGUGUGACAUAUACAAAAUGGAGGAAGA